GUCUACGGCCAUACCACCCUGAACGCGCCCGAUCUCGUCUGAUCUCGGAAGCUUAAGCAGGGUCGGGCCUGGUUAGUACUUGGUUGGGAGACCGCCUGGGAAUACCGGGUGCUGUAGGCU
ensembl:rRNA 5S_rRNA 5S ribosomal RNA